GUCUACAGCCAUGCUACCCUGAACAAGCCUGAUCCCAUCUGAUCUCGGAAGCUAAGCAGGGUUGGGCCUGGUUACUAGUUGGACGGAAAACCACCUAGGAAGACCAGGUGCUGUAGGCG
rnacentral:rRNA from 1 species